rnacentral:rRNA from 1 species
GACGAACGCUGGCGGCGUGCUUAACACAUGCAAGUCGAACGGAAAGGCCCUGCUUUUGUGGGGUGCUCGAGUGGCGAACGGGUGAGUAACACGUGAGUAACCUGCCCUUGACUUUGGGAUAACUUCAGGAAACUGGGGCUAAUACCGGAUAGGAGCUCCUGCUGCAUGGUGGGGGUUGGAAAGUUUCGGCGGUUGGGGAUGGACUCGCGGCUUAUCAGCUUGUUGGUGGGGUAGUGGUUUACCAAGGCUUUGACGGGUAGCCGGCCUGAGAGGGUGACCGACCACAUUGGGACUGAGAUACGGCCCAGACUCCUACGGGAGGCAGCAGUGGGGAAUAUUGCACAAUGGGCGGAAGCCUGAUGCAGCAACGCCGCGUGCGGGAUGACGGCCUUCGGGUUGUAAACCGCUUUCGCCUGUGACGAAGCGUGAGUGACGGUAAUGGGUAAAGAAGCACCGGCUAACUACGUG